rnacentral:rRNA from 1 species
UAACGGGGCGGUCCUCUAUGAGGCCCGUCAUUGUAUUGAGUAAAACUCAAAAUAUUUAACGAAACCAAUUGGAGGGCAAGUCUGGUGCCAGCAGCCGCGGUAAUUCCAGCUCCAAAAGCAUAUAUUAAAGUUGUUGCGGUUAAAAAGCUCGUAGUUGGAUCCAUGACCUCGGAGGGCGGUCCCCCACUGGGUGCGUACUGCUGCUCCGAGUCCUAUCUGUCAGUUUGUCUGUGUUGCCUUUAAUCGGGUGGCACAGGUGACUGACGUGUUUACUUUGAAAAAAUUAGAGUGUUUAAAGCAGGCGUUGAAUGCCUGAAUAGUGGUGCAUGGAAUAAUGGAAUAGGAUCUCGGUUCUAUUUUGUUGGUUCAAGAGCAUGAGAAAAUGAUUAAGAGGGACAGACGGGGGCAUUUGUAUUGCUGCGUUAGAGGUGAAAUUCUUGGAUCGUAGCAAGACAAACUACUGCGAAGGCAUUUGCCAAGAAUGUUUUCAUUAAUCAAGAACGAGAGUUAGAGGUUCGAAGGCGAUCAGAUACCGCCCUAGUUCUAACCGUAAACCACGUCGACUAGCUAUCUGUCAGCGUUAAUAAUGACCUGACAGGCAGCUUACCGGAAACGAAAGUUUCUCGAUUCCGGGGGUAGUAUGGUUGCAAAGCUGAAACUUAAAGGAAUUGACGGAAGGGCACCACCAGGAGUGGAGCCUGCGGCUUAAUUUGACCCAACACGGGAAAACUCACCCGGCCCGGACACCGUAAGGAUUGACAGAUUAAUAGCUCUUUCUCGAUUUGGUGAUUGGUGGUGCAUGGCCGUUCUUAGUUGGUGGAGCGAUUUGUCUGGUUAAUUCCGAUAACGAACGAGAUUCUAACUUACUAACUAGUUCCACGAUCCUUGUGGUCCUAAAUACUUCUUAGAGGGAAAACCGGCAUUUAGUCGAACGAGAUUGAGCAAUAACAGGUCUGUGAUGCCCUUAGAUGUCCGGGGCUGCACGCGUGCUACACUGAAGGAAUCAGCGUGUUUUUCCCUUGCCUGUAAUGGCUGGGUAACCGACUGAAUCUCCUUCGUGCUAGGGAUAGAUCAUUGAAACUAGUGAUCUUCAACUUGGAAUUCCUGGUACGUUUGAGUCAUAAGCUCAAGCAGAUUACGUCCCUGCCCUUUGUACACACCGCCCGUCGCUACUACCGACUGGCAAUAUCUUUGAGACACUUGGAGCGGCCGUGAGCUACCCUAACCGGUAACUCACGGCUGCGAAAAGGUU